ensembl:lncRNA
GCCAGACUUCUUGAGGAAAUCAGUUCUCAGACAGUCGGACCUUUAACGCUAUUAUUUAUUUAAUUUAACUAAUAUUUUUAUUUAUUUAUUUAUUUAACGCGGUUUGUGCACUAACGUCAUCUGUAUCCAUGAAAAAUGUCUGGAAUCAAGGAAGUGUGAUUCUUUUUUAAAGAAUCGAUUCCUAGCCCUAUUUUUCCUCUGCUGAAGUAAUUUCAAACUUUAUAGACUCUGACAGGAAAAAAAUUAGUCCAGAGACUACUGUGUGUUAGUGGACACUCUACGAUUGCAGACAUGGUGAACUCCAGCUGUGGAACUGAACCACAUUUCAACAGGGUUAAAGAGCCUGAAUGUGAAACGGUACAAUUAAAAGAAUCAGACAAAGAGGUAUACAUCAGUGCAGCUGAGCAAGAAGCUGUUUCAGCUCCUGUUGUGAUCCUCUCUGACGUGACACGAGGCGAUGCAGUAAGUGACAGAUUACAAUCUACAGAAUUGUUGUUGGAGUCUGCCAAUCUUCAUGAAAUUGACCCAGCCCUAAUUGACAUCCUCCCUGAAGUGAAACAAGACAAUGUAACCAAAAUGGAGACUGAAGAACAUAGUGCUGAUAUCAAAAAUGAGCCCCAGGACCAGCCAGAUUUGGAAGAGCCUGCGAUUAAACUCCUUGGGGAAUUGGGCGAGGUGGAGAAUGCGACCAAGACAACCUCUAGUCCUGAACCACAGACAUCUCACAAAGACCAAUGCUCCCCAAACCCUUGCCAUGAAAGGUCAUUGGACGUGGAUGGAGAUGGUGUGCUUUUUCAAGAAAUAGAAGAGACUAAGAUGGAUCAGAAGGCUGGAGAUCAUGAUCCUGAAAUUUUAUCAGGUGCAGUACUAGAGCAUUUAGUAGAAACGUAUUUUAAUAGUGAGAUGCAGUUGCAGGCUACUGAAGGGACGGAAAUUUUGGAGCCUCCAGCAAAGAAAAGAUUAAGAAGAAGAAUGGGUAUGUGUGGCCUAGGAGACAGGAAGAGGAGAUUCCCCUUUGAUGGACAGCACUGUAGGCAGGGUCUUAUAGGAAGAGAGAGGGAAGAAGGACCUCUUAAGGGAAAUAAAUGUGCACAGCACCUGCAUGACCCGCUGUUGGAGAAUGAUGGUACCACACCAAUGAACAUGAAGGAACUACCAGACCCGCAUGUCAAGAAAAUGAAGAGGUUUUGAAAAACAAGGAGAACAAUAGUGCUGCAGUGAUUGAUGAUAAAAGAACACCAGGAGAAGCAGAAAAAGAACAAAAAAAAAACAUGAAUAAGUGCACUGCAUUGAUGAGAGACGGUGAUACCACAGAUGAAUCCCCUACAGAAAAUAGAGAUGUUCUGGAAAAAGUCAUAUUGGAGGAAAAUGAUGGUAUUGUAAUCAUGGAUAACAAAGGAACUACUGAACAAGUGGUUUCAGAGCAUCACCUUAAACUGUUAGAAGAUAUAUCACCAGGGGUUGGACAAACACUGUUAAGUCCUACCAUUGGGAAAAACUUGAACAUGAGCCAAGAUGAACGGUCAGUAGCUGCUGCUACCAGUGACCAUGAAAUAGAAACUGCUACCUGUGGUGAAGAACCAAAUGUCCCUGGGACCGACAUGACCAACAAUAGACAAGAUAUCGAAUUUAACAUGAAACACGACGUUCUGCCAGAGACACAGCAUCUUCAUGCUGAUUAUAAAGUGGGCGAGGACCCCGAUGAGAUUGCGAUGGAAGAUGAAGUUGCUCAGGAAGUGAUCUGUAGCUCAGUUUGUGCUACGGUUGAAAAGUCUGAAGGUUGUUUCAUAGUCACUAGACAGGUCCGAGAGGUUCCAACUGGUCUGGAAGAAAGUGAAAUGGAGAUUGAAGAGUGGUGUCCAUCCAAUAUGGCUCCCACUGAGAAACAUGACCCGAACGGACCUGAACUGGGCGGGUCCACUGAAAAAGGAUUGGACGCCAGAUUUGUCGACAGCACGGGUAUUGCUUCCAUUGAAAUACAUCAUGUGAAAGGUCACUGUGAAAACGACAAGCCCAUAACAGCUGUAUCAGGGAGUACAGAGCCUGCUGGAGGAGAUGCCAUCAAUGCUAAGCAGAACAGUGAACCUCUAGCACCACCUACUGUCCAGGAGAAGUGCAUGCAGUGUCUUUUAGACCAGAAUCACUGCGACACUUCUGUGACCUCUACUGUUGCUGAGCAGCAGGUCUGUAACCCCACCCUGACCCCUGCUCCUAGUGAGGCAUCUCAGGAGACUGGCUUAUCCGUUCCAUCGUCGCUUUACUCUAUGACGGACUCCCAACUCCAUAAAAUUGCAUUAAGCAUGGAGCUGGAGGACCAGCCUAUCCCAGAAGGCUGUGAUCACCAGGAGGAUGCCACAGAGCUUGUGCGUGGCCUCAUCAGAGAACUCUCCUCUAUAAAUCGUACCGUGAUGGCGGCACACCGUGAGAUGGAACUCUUGCGCCGUGGAAAACUUCUAAAGGCUCCGAAUCGUCGCCUUUGUGGUCCUCGCCAUACCGAGAUGUAACCACAUGAUGGAGAUAUGAUGCGGAUAAUAGUCUCAUCCUUCUAUAAAAUUAUUAUUUGGCAGUAGGGCCUAUAAUGCUUGUUUAUACAAAUCUUUGUUGAGGUGUAUAUAUAAAGAGGUAAGGAGUAAAUGGUGUAACUUUGAUUUUGUGUUCGAGACUGGAUCUGUCUAGGUUAGAGGAGUUCUACAGGUUUACUUGUUUGUCCAUAAAGUUUGAUCUGUUUUUAUUUUUAUACAGAAUGCAUUACUAGAGUGUCAGAAUGAGCCUCAGCAGUUUCUCAAGGCAGCUAGCCAUGUCUCACAUUCCGUCUUUUCGCUUUUCAGAAACUGAUUGAUACGAGUACUUAAGUAGAUUAAUGUGUAGACUUGCUUUUUUAUGUCACUUUGAAGUGGGAGCUCCUUUUUAAUGCGCUCACCACCAUAAUUGUUUUGUUUACAAGUCCUUGAGUUGGUGAAAAAUGUUUGUUUUAUUGUUGUAACUCCAAGACCAGUUGAUAAUUCGGUCAUCUACACUGGUGGGGUGUUUUUUUUUUUUAAAAAAAACUGGACCAUUUGUGCAGAAUGAACUGCUUCAAACCAGCCCACUUCUGUACCAGUAAACAACGUAAAGAUGAAUGUUGAAAGUGGUCUCUUUGUUUUCCUUCAUGUAAUAGGUCUGGCCUACAUAUACGCUCUUAAAAAUAAAAAAAGGUUCCAGUUAGAACCAAAAACAAAAGUUUUUCAGCCUGAUGGCAUAGGAGAACCCUUUUAAGCUGCACAAAGAACCUUCUAUUUACUGGUUCUAUAAAGAACCCACAGUUCUUCACAGCAAUGCCACAAGGAACCAUAUUAUAAGUUCUCUUCUUUAAUAAAAAACAAAAACAAAAAGAAGGUUCUUAAGAGUGAUCAAUGAUGCCAGAAGAACCUUUUCCAGUCCCACUAAGAACCUUACAGGGUUCACUUGAAUCUGUUAAGGGAUGAUACCUUGAAGAAC